UUCGCAAUGCCCGAAAGGGUGACGAAGCGACGCCGCGUGCGGGAAGAAGGCCUUCGGGUUGUAAACCGCUGUCGGGAGUUAAGAAAUGCAGAGAUGUUAAUAGCGUCUUUGCUUGACUAAGGCUCCGGAGGAAGCCACGGCUAACUCUGUGCCAGCAGCCGCGGUAAUACAGAGGCGGCAAGCGUUGUUCGGAAUUAUUGGGCGUAAAGAGCACGUAGGCGGCUGUGUAAGUCGGUUGUGAAAGCCUUCUGCUCAACGGAAGAACAGCAGCCGAUACUGCAUAGCUUGAGUGCGGAAGGGGAGAGUGGAACUUCUGGUGGAGCGGUGAAAUGCGUAGAUAUCAGAAGGAACACCGGCGGCGAAGGCGACUCUCUGGUCCGUAACUGACGCUGAGUGUGCGAAAGCUAGGGGAGCAAACGGGAUUAGAUACCCCGGUAGUCCUAGCCGUAAACGAUGGGCACUAAGUAGAGGGGUUUU
rnacentral:rRNA from 1 species